AUUUGGUGUUGCGGGGAAUCAGGACUGUUACUUUGAAAAAAUUAGAGUGUUUACAAGCAGGCUCACGCUUGAAUACAUUAGCAUGGAAUAAUGAAAUAGGACGUUUGAUCCUAUUUUGUUGGUUUCUAGGAUUGACGUAAUGAUUAAUAGGGAUAGUUGGGGGCAUUAGUAUUCAAUUGUCAGAGGUGAAAUUCUUGGAUUUAUUGAAGACUGACUACUGCGAAAGCAUUUGCCAAGGAUGUUUUCAUUAAUCAAGAACGAAAGUUAGGGGAUCGAAGACGAUCAGAUACCGUCGUAGUCUUAACCAUAAACUAUGCCGACUAGGGAUCGGAUGAUGUUAAUUUUUUAAUGACUCAUUCGGC
rnacentral:rRNA from 1 species